UCUUUUUCAAGGUUUGGGAGGGCCUCUCAACCCCACUACCUACCUCUCUGUCUCGCCUGUCAACUUGGUUGCUACAAGUUACAGGCUCGUUUCCCUGGAAGCUGUAUGGAAUCGAGUUGGAUCCACCGGCCCCUUUAUUCUGCUAGCAUGAGUCCAUCCCUUCUCUGCUGUGCGGACUGCGGAGUCAGUGGUGAUUAAAACCAGAUAUGGUCCGUCCCACUUUGGGGUGAUUGAAUCUUCUUUCCAGCUUCGGAUGAGGACCCAGUCGCCGGGUUGUACCUGGUGUAACACAAGAUCUAGGGGUGGUCUUUGGGCCCACAUCCCCUUUUCCCAUAACUGUUUUUUAUAUUUCAUUAAAGUGGUUAAAUAUUUAUUAAUACUUUGAUCAGUAAUGUUAGGAUUAGUUUGAACUUUUUCUAGGGAAUAGGGCACCCCAUACAACAUUUCAAAUGGGGACAGUCCUAUAUCAGCUCGUGGCUGAGUUCGAACAUUUAAUAAUGCCAACGGCAGACAUUUUAUCCAGGAUAGUUUAGUUUCUAGUACUAAUUUGGUGAGUUGUUUCUUAAUUUCUCCAUUCAUUCUUUCUACCCUCCCCGAACUCUGUGGAUGCCAGGGGGUAUGUUGUUCCCAUUUUAUGCCCAGAGCUUCUGCUAGCAUCUGUGUUAUUUUUGAAGUAAAAUGGGGGCCUUUAUCAGAGUCUAUCGUCUCUGGGACCCCAUAUCUAGGUAUUACUUCUUCCAGCAAGGCUUUUGUUACUGUCCGAGCUGUCUCCCUGGCAGUGGGGAUUGCUUCCACAUAAUGUGUUAAAUGAUCCACAAUAAC